AUUGAACGUUGGCGGCACGCCUAAUACAUGCAAGUCGAACGAGAAAGCACUUCGGUGUGAGUACAGUGGCGGACGGGUGAGUAACGCGUAGGAAUCUACCUAGUAGUGGGGGACAACUCGAGGAAACUCGAGCUAAUACCGCAUACGCUCUUAGGAGGAAAGUGGGGGAUCUUCGGACCUCACGCUAUUAGAGGAGCCUGCGUUAGAUUAGCUUGUUGGUGAGGUAAAGGCUCACCAAGGCGACGAUCUAUAGCUGGUCUGAGAGGACGAUCAGCCACACUGGAACUGAGACACGGUCCAGACUCCUACGGGAGGCAGCAGUAGGGAAUCUUGGGCAAUGGGCGAAAGCCUGACCCAGCGAUGCCGCGUGUGCGAAGAAGGCCUUAGGGUUGUAAAGCACUUUCAGUCGUGAAGAAAAGCUACGAUUUAAUAUGUCGUGGUCUUGACGUUAGCGACAGAAGAAGUACCGGCUAACUCCGUGCCAGCAGCCGCGGUAAUACGGAGGGUACGAACGUUAAUCGGAAUUACUGGGCGUAAAGCGCGCGUAGGCGGUUUGAUAAGUGGGAUGUGAAAGCCCCGGGCUCAACCUGGGAACUGCAUUCCAAACUGUCAAACUAGAGUGUGGUAGAGGGCGGUAGAAUUUCCUGUGUAGCGGUGAAAUGCGUAGAUAUAGGAAGGAAUACCGAUGGCGAAGGCAGCCGCCUGGACCAACACUGA
rnacentral:rRNA from 1 species